rnacentral:sRNA from 1 species
AUGGACCACGCGUCCACUGCGGUUGUGAGCGCGCCGUCCGCACCCACCUGACGACUGCUCGCUACGUUUUGUUCGCC